rnacentral:rRNA from 1 species
GAAGCGCUGCAGUCGAGAUUCCUACGGGAGGCAGCAGCAGGGAAUAUUGCACAAUGGGCGAAAGCCUGAUGCAGCAACGCCGCGUGAGGGAUGAAGGCCUUCGGGUUGUAAACCUCUUUCAGGAGGGAAGAAAUUGACGGUACCUCCAAAAGAAGCCCCGGCUAACUACGUGCCAGCAGCCGCGGUAAUACGUAGGGGGCGAGCGUUGUCCGGAUUUAUUGGGCGUAAAGGGCUCGUAGGCGGUUCAGUAAGUCGGCUGUGAAAGUCCGGGGCUCAACCCCGGAAAUGCAGUCGAUACUGCUGUGACUAGAAUCAGGUAGAGGAGAAUGGAAUUCCCGGUGUAGCGGUGGAAUGCGCAGAUAUCGGGAGGAACACCAGUAGCGAAGGCGGUUCUCUGGGCCUGUAUUGACGCUGAGGAGCGAAAGCGUGGGGAGCAAACAGGAUUAGAUACCCUGGUAGUCCACGCCGUAAACGUUGGGUACUAGGUGUGGCGAUCCGUCUAACGAUUGCCGUGCCGAAGCUAACGCAUUAAGUACCCCGCCUGGGGAGUACGGCCGCAAGGCUAAAACUCAAAGGAAUUGACGG